CGAUCAUUACCGAGUGCGGGCCCUCUGGGUCCAACCUCCCAUCCGUGUCUAUCUGUACCCUGUUGCUUCGCCGUGGCCACGGCCCGCCGGAGACUAACAUUUGAACGCUGUCUGAAGUUUGCAGUCUGAGUUUUUAGUUACACAAUCGUUAAAACUUUCAACAACGGAUCUCUUGGUUCCGGCAUCGAUGAAGAACGCAGCGAAAUGAGAUAAUUAAUGUGAAUUGCAGAAUUCAGUGAAUCAUCGAGUCUUUGAACGCACAUUGCGCCCCCUGGUAUUCCGGGGGGCAUGCCUGUCCGAGCGUCAUUGCUGCCCUCAAGCACGGCUUGUGUGUUGGGCUUCCGUCCCUGGCAACGGGGACGGGCCCAAAAGGCAGUGGCGGCACCAUGUCUGGUCCUCGAGCGUAUGGGGCUUUGUCACACGCUCCCGUAGGUCCAGCUGGCAGCUAGCCUCGCAACCAAUCUUUUUAACCAGGUUGACCUCGGAUCCGGUAGGGAUACCCGCUGAACU
rnacentral:sRNA from 1 species